UAGCGUAAUCACUUGUUCUUUAAUUGAGGACUAGUAUGAAUGGCCCCACGAGGACUAAACUGUCUCCUUUUUCUAAUCAAUGAAACUGAUCUCCUCGUGAAGAAGCGAGGAUAAAAAUAUAAGACGAGAAGACCCUAUGGAGCUUUAAACAACAGAGAUAUUUGCUAAACCUAGACUAACUUUCUGAACACUAAACAAAUUAAAGCAUUUUAUUCUCUAGUUUUAGGUUGGGGUGACCACGGAGAAAAUAAAAACCUCCACGCUGUAGGAAGCCUCCCAUCUUCUAAGCCAAAAGCUACAACUUUAAGCAUCAACACAUUGACUCCCAUUGACCCAAUAAUUUGAUCAACGAACCAAGUUACCCUAGGGAUAACAGCGCAAUCUACUUUGAGAGCUCAUAUCGACAAGUAGGCUUACGACCUCGAUGUU
rnacentral:rRNA from 1 species